CUGGCUCAGGAUGAACGCUAGCUACAGGCUUAACACAUGCAAGUCGAGGGGCAGCAUGAUCUUAGCUUGCUAAGAUUGAUGGCGACCGGCGCACGGGUGAGUAACGCGUAUCCAACCUUCCCCUUAGUAGGGCAUAGCCCGGUGAAAAUCGGAUUAAUACCCUAUGUUGUGUCAUGAGGACAUCUGAAUAACACUAAAGAUUUAUCGCUAAGGGAUGGGGAUGCGUCCGAUUAGGUAGUCGGCGGGGUAACGGCCCACCGAGCCCUCGAUCGGUAGGGGUUCUGAGAGGAAGGUCCCCCACACUGGUACUGAGACACGGACCAGACUCCUACGGGAGGCAGCAGUGAGGAAUAUUGGUCAAUGGGCGUAAGCCUGAACCAGCCAAGUAGCCGUGCAGGAUGACGGCCCUAUGGGUUGUAAACUGCUUUUAUACGGGGAUAAAGUGAGGGACGUGUCCCUUAUUGUAGGUACCGUAUGAAUAAGGACCGGCUAAUUCCGUGCCAGCCGCUGC
rnacentral:rRNA from 1 species